rnacentral:rRNA from 1 species
GGGGAGCAAACGGAUUAGAUACCCCGGUAGUCACGCCGUAAACGAUGUCUACUAGCCGUUGGAGGACUUGAUCCUUUAGUGGCGCAGCUAACGCGAUAAGUAGACCGCCUGGGGAGUACGGUCGCAAGAUUAAAACUCAAAUGAAUUGACGGGGGCCCGCACAAGCGGUGGAGCAUGUGGUUUAAUUCGAAGCAACGCGAAGAACCUUACCUACUCUUGACAUCCAGUGAACUUUUGAGAGAUCAAUUGGUGCCUUCGGGAACACUGAGACAGGUGCUGCAUGGCUGUCGUCAGCUCGUGUUGUGAAAUGUUGGGUUAAGUCCCGUAACGAGCGCAACCCUUGUCCUUAGUUACCAUCAUUAAGUUGGGGACUCUAAGGAGACUGCCGGUGACAAACCGGAGGAAGGCGGGGACGACGUCAAGUCAUCAUGGCCCUUACGAGUAGGGCUACACACGUGCUACAAUGGCAUGUACAAAGGGUUGCCAAGCCGCGAGGUGGAGCUAAUCCCAUAAAGCAUGUCGUAGUCCGGAUUGGAGUCUGCAACUCGACUCCAUGAAGUCGGAAUCGCUAGUAAUCGUGAAUCAGAAUGUCACGGUGAAUACGUUCCCGGGCCUUGUACACACCGCCCGUCACACCAUGGGAGUGGGUUGCUCCAGAAGUAGAUAGCUUAACCUUCGGGAGGGCGUUUACCACGGAGUGAUUCAUGACUGGGGUGAAGUCGUAACAAGGUAGCCGUA